rnacentral:rRNA from 1 species
GCGUAUAUUAAAGUUGUUGCAGUUAAAAAGCUCGUAGUUGAAUUUCGGGGUUAGCAGGUCGGUCGUGCCAAUGGCAUGCACUGGCUCGCUGACUCCUCCUUCUUGUAGAACCGUAAUGCCAUUAAUUUGGUGUUGCGGGGAAACAGGACUGUUACUUUGAAAAAAUUAGAGUGUUUAAAGCAGGCCAACGCCUGAAUACAUUAGCAUGGAAUAAUGAAAUAGGACGUUCGAACCUAUUUUGUUGGUUUCUAGGAUUGACGUAAUGAUUAAUAGGGAUAGUUGGGGGCAUUAGUAUUCAAUUGUCAGAGGUGAAAUUCUUGGAUUUAUUGAAGACUGACUACUGCGAAAGCAUUUGCCAAGGAUGUUUUCAUUAAUCAAGAACGAAAGUUAGGGGAUCGAAGACGAUCAGAUACCGUCGUAGUCUUAACCAUAAA